rnacentral:misc_RNA from 1 species
GUUUAUUUAUUUAUUUAUUUUUUGGUCAAAGAUGAAUUCCCUCAUUGGUGAUUUUAAGACCAUUCUCCCUCCUCAGAGAUUUUAACGCGCACUCUCCAUAUCAGCCUAGCGUGAUAGAUAAUUCUGUAAUGCUUAAGGAAGAAGAGCUUUCGUUUUACGCUGAUGGGUGCAAGCAAUUCAAAGCUCGUUGAUCAUUGCAUUUGAUCUUUAAUCAUAACAAUAAGAAAAACAAGCAACUAUAACAAGCAAUUACAGUAAUGAUAAUAAGAUCACAAAUAUGUUCGUGUAAAACAAAACAUGCCUUCUUUCAUACAUCUCCUUAAUUUUUUGGUAUGAUGUUUCCUAUCAACUUUUUCAACAGAGUUGUUUGUUUCGUGGGAAAGUAUAUUUCUUGGAAAAUAAUUUAAUUUCUAUAUUCUUUUUAAUAUUUCCAUGUUUAAAACGUACUGGUCUCUGCUAUUUGAGGGGGAAAAAAAACCAGCAGUAACUUUUUUGAUCUCUC